rnacentral:rRNA from 1 species
AUGACUAGAGAUAAUCUUAGGAAAAGACACAUCAUUAAACCCCUUGAGUGUGUUUAUUGCUUGGAACAAGAAUCUUGUUCUCACCUAUUUUUUGAAUGUAUUGUUGCUAAACAUCUCUGGGCCCCUAUUGAGAAAAUUUUCUCUAUUCAGAUUGGCUCAUCCUUCGAAUCUGUUGCCAGGUUCUGGAUUGCUACCAAAAAGUGCUCGGUUUUAAAUACUGUUAGCUCAACUGUCCUUUGGUGCCUCUGGAAAUAUAGAAAUGCUAUGAUUUUCAGUAACACAUCCUGGAUUUCCAUUCUACAGGUUUUGAGGUUGAUCAGGAACAUGGUGAGGAACUGGGCGAUUCUCUCCUCCGGGUCAGACAAGGACAAGUUGAUGUCCUUCGUGGAAACCCUCACAAGAUCCCUCCAGAAACCGUUGGCGAUCACAAGUGGCUGA